UAACGAAUUCUCAAAGGUAAAUAUCAGCUGGUAAUUCUGGGAGCUAUGCCUAGAUAUUUGAAACACUCGGAAUUUCAGUUGGUAUCGACUUUUUUGAAUUG
rfam:Drosophila willistoni strain TSC#14030-0811.24 scf2_1100000004515 genomic scaffold, whole genome shotgun sequence.